rnacentral:lncRNA from 1 species
GGAGCUUAAGGGAGGCUUCUCAAUUCCCAACAGACUGCAAAAAACCCUAAUUAAUAAGAGAAACUGUCAGAUUUGUGGGAGAUUCAGCCUAACUUCUUCGUAGAACUUAAUACUAUCUUAUUGUGGCUCGUCUUUUAGUUUCCAAGAAGCUUUCGUCUUCUCCGGUUUAGAGAAUUAGGUUUUCGAGAAACUAAGGUAAAUGUUUUUUACCCCUUUCGAAGUUUUCUGUACAUAAUGAGAUCGAUGUGUUCUUUACUCAAGAUUUGUGUAUCUGGAUUUGAAAGUAGUAAACUUGGUGUAUAGAACCAGAGAUAGAGUAAUUCAAGAUUUGGUUCUGUAAUGCUUGCAGCGGGAGCUUUUAAGCUCAAUUUGUAGGAAUUAAAAAAAAAAUCGUCAACAAAUCAGUUUCUUCUUUUGAUAGCAAGGAAUCAAGAAUUAGCUAAAUAAUUUGGAAUUUUUCGGCGUUGCUCUUUGGUUAAUGUGAAAAACUUAUUGACAUUUGCAAGUGAUUUGUGCUUCAGAAAGAGCUAUAAAGAUGGAGAUGGAGCCAAUGCUACAUAUAUCAAGUGUAAUGAACAAUGAGUGCGUGGCUUUGCUUCUCUUUUCUUGUUAUUCUGGUAAAUUUUAAAUGUUUUGCUACAUGCAUACAUGUUUCAGAGCUUCCUUCGUCUUAGGACAACAACAAAUGUGAUGGGUCUUAUGUCUUCCUUGGCCAACUCCUCGUCAACCAUUC